rnacentral:rRNA from 1 species
UGGGGAAUAUUGCACAAUGGGCGCACGCCUGAUGCAGCCAUGCCGCGUGUAUGAAGAAGGCCUUCGGGUUGUAAAGUACUUUCAGCGAGGAGGAAGGCGUUGUGGUUAAUAACCGCAACGAUUGACGUUACUCGCAGAAGAAGCACCGACUAACUCCGUGCCAGCAGCCGCGGUAAUACGGAGGGUGCAAGCGUUAAUCGGAAUUACUGGGCGUAAAGCGCACGCAGGCGGUCUGUCAAGUCGGAUGUGAAAUCCCCGGGCUCAACCUGGGAACUGCAUCCGAAACUGGCAGGCUAGAGUCUUGUAGAGGGGGGUAGAAUUCCAGGUGUAGCGGUGAAAUGCGUAGAGAUGUGGAGGAAUACCGGUGGCGAAGGCGGCCCCCUGGACAAAGACUGACGCUCAGGUGCGAAAGCGUGGGGAGCAAACA